CCAAACGUUUUCAUUAUCACCUUUGUUGAGUUGUUUUACUUGGUAGCUUGCCUCACAAAAGAUAUCACAGACAUAGAAGGUGACAUGAGGUAUAACAUUCGAACAUUUGCGGCGAUAAUUGGACCUAAAUACAUUACAAUCCUUGCAACGGGAAUUUUGAUGUUAGCUUACAGUGGUGCUAUAGCGGUUGGCAUUUACAUGCCUCAGGCUUUCAAGCGUUAUUUAAUGUUGUCUGCUCACCCAAUCUUGGCCUUAUGGUUACUUUUUCAGGUAUGCCUUACAUAAAAUGA